CCGUCGUGCUCCACCGGAACCAGAAGCAUGCAGGACAGGGAACGCUGGGAAGUGUAGUUCAGCUUAACCAGCUUGCCUGCUCACCAAGCCUCCAGUGUGGGAGGUAGUGCCACUUGGAAGCCUGCCAUCCAGUGAGCACCCGGAGUUAAGGAGGCAGUUCCAACAGAGGCCAACGCUGUGAGGUGACGCGCGGAGGCAGAGGAAGCCUGUUCUUAUUUUCCACUCCUUAAUUUAGUUUGGGUUCUUUCUUAACAUUUACAAAAAAUAAAAGAAUCCAAAUGGCACUGAAUGCCACUGUUACAUUAAAUAUCAGAACACCAGUGUCCACAGCAGCAUCAUUCACAAGAGCCAAAAGGUGGCAACAGCCCACAUAUUCAUCAACAGAUGAGUGUAUAAACAAAAUGUGGUAAAUCCAUACAAUGCAAUAUUAUUUCUCCUUAAAAAGAAAUGAAAUUCCAACAUGUGCUACAGCAUGGAUGAAGCUUGAAGACAUUAUGCUGAGUGAAGUGAGCCAGACACAAAAAGGAAACAGUGUAUGAUUCCAAUUAUACGAGAUUCCUCAAAUAGAUAAAUUCAUAGAGACAGAAAGUAGACUAGAAGUAACCAGGGGUGGGGGAGGGGAAAACUGUUUCAUGAGAACAGGAUUUCCAUUUGGGAUAAUAAAAAGUUCUGGAAGCGGAUGGUGGUGACGGUUGCACAACGUUGUGAAUGGACUUAGUGCCACUGAAUUGUACACUUAAAAAUGGUUAAAAUGUGCCACUGCUGGACUCUUCAAGACUCAAGGAAAAGAGCACCCUAACCCUUAAAAAAUGGGGCUUGUUGGAAGGAUAUUCAGCAUCUCAGCCUCCAUACCAUGACCUCUGCAUUUCUGCACUUGCUAGCCUGGAUUGUACCACAGGCCUAGUGGAGGCUGAGACGGUGGCGCAUCCCAGCUCUGUAUGUGGCACCUCUGCUUCUCUCUGCAUCUCACACUCAAGCUCCCUGAGCAGAAAGCAUCGAAACAGAUAGUUUGGACCAUCCAGUAAGAAGCAUCCCUACUGGCAUCUCUUGUCAGGACAUCGAUCCCUGGCCCCAGUGAUUGUAGCCAAGGGAGAAGUGUCAAUGUUCAGGAUGCCCCAUGGCCUUCCAAGCACAGGAAAUUAAGCAGAAAGAAUUUCCGGGGGCACCUUUCCUGGUUAGAGCUGACUGGCUCAAGGACUGCCUGGCACAACCGCCUUAGACGAGCCCCACCACAGAGUCUUUACACCCCGAGAGGAUCUGCAAUGGAAUUCUCAGAGCAAAUAUGCCUGUUGAGGGAUGUUCUCCUUAAAUAAGUGUGACCACACCCCAGGAGAGGUGGCAUUACCUGUGUGGGUCUUUGAGAGAUGGAGGUUGCAGAGAGGGACUGUGAACCACGGAAGGUCAAUGUCAGAGUCAACUGCAGGUUCAUGGACCCCCAAGCUAAGGGUCAUUGGAGCCUAAGGGCUUUAUUCCAGCAAGCUAAGUUCCUUCCUCUCCCCCUCAGGCCACCCCACCCACCCUCAGUUUCAGCACUGGCCUGGAGAGGCCUGAGCCACUAAUGUAAUAGUUUUCACUCAAGCAUUGGCCAGCAGACCCCUGGAGAGCUAAUUUGAUUUCUUUCCUUUUAAAUUGGAUUUCCCUGAACCAUCUUCUGCUUCUGUGGCAACACAGGCAGGAUCAGACCUUAUCUCAGUGUAGAUCUCUACUGCUCUGCAAGACUCCAAGGAGCCUGGGCUGACCUUCCGGCCAAGUGAGGCAGUGAGGGACCCUGGGGAGAGCUCUGACACACCCUGCAAGCAGUCACCUGUGCCCAUAGAUCUCAUAGCAGAGCGUGGGCUGUCCAGCUGACCCUCAGUACUGCCCUGGGAGCUGGGGAGACAUGCAGAUUAUUCUCUAAUCUUAACACAUGGGGAAACUGAGGGCCAAAGAAAAGAGUCAGUGACUUGCCCAGGACCACGAAGCUCAAGCAAGCCUAGAGAAGCCCCAUGGCUACGGGAGAAAGGAUGGCGACAUUGAAACAGAUCUACAUUCAAUGACAUCCCUGGCAUUCAACUGGCAUGGUCUUGGGCCUUGGUUUCUUCAUGUGUAGGUUGGAGCUGAUAAAACAUAUCUCAUAGGGUAGUUUUGAAAAUUAAAAGUAUUAAAAAGAAAUGAGCUAUCAAUUCACGAAAAGACAUGUAGGAACCUUAAAUGCAUAUUACAAAGUGAAAGAAGCCAAUCUGAAAAGCCUACAUACCGUAUGAUUCCAACCAUACGACAUUCUGGAAAAGGCAAAACUAUGGAGAUGGUAAAAACAUUAGUGGUUGCCAACAGUUCAGGGGGAAAGAGGAUGAAUAGGUGGAACACGGGAGUUUUAGGGCAGUGAAACUAUUCUGUAUCCUACUGUAAUUGUGGAUACAUGUCAUUAUACAUUUGUGAAAACCCAUGGAAUGCACAAUACCAAGAGUGAACCCUAAUGUAAACUGCGGACUCUGAGUGAUUAUGGUGUGUCAACACCAGUUCAUCAGUUGUAACAAAUGUACCACACUGAUGCCAAUGUUUGAUGGUGUGGGAGGCUAUGUGCUGGGGGAGGAGAUAUUUGGGAACUCUCUGUACUUUCCACUCAAUGUUGCUAUGAACCUAAAACUGCUCUAAAAAUAAAC
ensembl:lncRNA